rnacentral:RNase_P_RNA from 1 species
CGAGUAAGCCAGACAAUCGCUGCUAGUCUUAGAACUAGGAGAGGAAAGUCCGAGCUCCAUAGGGCAGGAUGCUGGAUAACGUCCAGUGGAGGUGACUCUAAGGAUAGUGCAACAGAAAUAAACCGCCUAGAUUUAUCUAGGUAAGGGUGGAAAGGUGAGGUAAGAGCUCACCAGUGUAUAGGUGACUAUACUGCUAUGUAAACCCCAUCUGGAGCAAGACCAAAUAGGAGGACAUUAUAGGGGCUGCCCGUCCCGUCCUCGGGUGUGUCGCUAAUACCUAAGUGUUUUUUUAUUUUACAAAAAAAUAUACUGAUAGUUUCUUUCCUUAU